rnacentral:rRNA from 1 species
GAUCAUGGCUCAGGAUGAACGCUAGCGGCAGGCUUAACACAUACAAGUCGAGGGGCAGCAUGAGGAGUCAGCAAUGACACCUUGAUGGCGACCGGCGGAAGGGUGCGUAACGCGUGAGCAACCUGCCCGUCACGGGGGGAUAACCGGUGGAAACGCCGACUAAUAUCCCAUAGUUCUUUUUAGGGGCAUCCCUUUAAAGAUAAAGGCUUCGGCCGGUGACGGAUGGGCUCGCGUGACAUUAGGCAG